rnacentral:ncRNA from 1 species
AGACUGUCAAGGUCAAGGUAGGCUUGGAAACUUGCCGCCAACCAAGACAGGGCUAUCCACAGGAAAUGUAUGAUGAUUAUUGUCAUAUUGUUAUCCUUGAUAGUUAUUGUUUGAAUAUAACUCAUCUUUAGCAAUUGUCGGUAUGUAAACGGUGCUUUU